GGGAGGGGAGGCGAUCUCGCGAGACAGUCGAGACGAUCGAAAGUAAUCCGCCAUGUCAGGGGGACGCCAUAAUAUCGUUGACGAGAAGCGUGCGAUAAUCGCUGGAGGCGUUCGAUGAUCUUUCGAUAAUCGAUCGAUAGGAUCGUAUUGCGUUACGUUUGUUGGUUCGUUCGUUCGUUCGUUCCGAAGAAAAGUAGACGCCGGUAAACUCGUUCGUUCUUUCGUCCGUUCACUCGUUCGCUCGUUCGUUCGUUUGUUCGUUCGUUCGUUCGUUCGUUCGUGCCGAAGGAAAAGCCGAGUGUUCGCGAUACAUUCAUUCGUUCGUUCGUUCGUUCGUUCGUUCAUUCGUACGUUCGUUCGUUCGGCCGUUCGUACGCUUUCGAUCUCGUGUCGCGACGAUUCGAAAGAUAGUGCAAACGUGAUAACAAAAAAUCCAAAAACUUAACUAACGAUCAUCGUGAUAGAGACGAAAAAAAGGAAAAGGAGAAAAGGAGAGAGAGAGAGAAAGAGAGAGAGAGAGAAAAGGAAAAAAAAAGAGGCUCGAUCCUCGUUUAAACCCUCGAGAAAAUUAGUGUUGUUGUUUAAUCGUGGAUGGCGAACAUACGUGUUGAAGAAACAACGAGGAUCGUACGAUGAGCGACGGUAUUGCCGGUGCGAUCGCGAUCAGUUUAUUCGGAGACGAAGAGAAGAAGAGGAGGGACAGCAUGGACACAGCGGGUUACUCGGUUCUAUCAAACGACGACGUCUGCAGAAUGUUCGAUCAGUAUUCCUAUAAGAGAAACGACAAUCUCGAUUUGUCCUUGAACGACGGCUACAAUAUGGCUGACCAGACAUUUCACACGCCGAGUUUCGGGGAUGAGGUAUUCGACAUUCCACCGAUCCAUCCGCAUCCACAUCAACAACAUCAGCCGCCGCCUCAGCAACAACAACAGCAGCCUCAGCCUCAGCAACAACAGCAUCAUCAACAGCAUGAUCCCAUGCACGGAUAUCAGUCGCAGAUGAUACAGUCCGCUGGAAUGCAGCAAUCUCCGGAUGGCCUCAGUCUCGAUCCCGGUGGGUACCAACAACCGUUGUACCUGCAACAGGAACACUCGAUGCAGGCCAUCAAUGUCAGUUCAGCAUACAGCAGUCCUCAAGGAUCGUAUACGACCAUGAGCUCGCCGCGUCAACAGCAUAGCAAUUUAUUGUUACUGCAGCAACAACAGCAACAACAGCAACAACAACAACAUCAGCAACAGCAACAACAUCAGCAACAAGUUCAGCUUCAACAUAUGCAAUAUAUGCAUUCUCAGCAACAACAGCAGCAACAACAACAACAACAGCAACAGCAACAGCAGCAGCAACAACAACAGCAACAACAACAACUUCAGCAAUUACAAUACAGAAGUCCGACUGGUGGUAGCCCACCUGCUAUGCAAUCCAACAUUCCAGAAAAUAAUAACAAUACUACGACCAGCGAAGAUAGCGAUGACAGCACUCCUCAUUCGGGGACUAUCGCAGGUAUUAAACGGCCAUCACCGGAACCAACCGAUGUGGGAGCUAAAAAUCAGAGAAAAACUAAGUCACAAAAGAAGAAGAAGAAGAGGGAUCCUAACGAACCCCAAAAACCAGUGUCGGCUUACGCUCUCUUCUUCAGGGAUACCCAGGCAGCGAUCAAAGGACAAAAUCCUAAUGCUAGUUUUGGCGAAAUAUCGAAAAUCGUUGCAUCAAUGUGGGACGCCUUGGAGAUCGAACAUAAGAACGUUUAUAAGAAAAAGACUGAAGCGGCUAAGAAGGAAUACUUGAAGGCAUUGGCAGCAUAUAGGGCAUCGUUGGUUAGUAAAGGUGCAGCUGAGAAUGAACAACAACAACAACAGCAUCAACAACAACAACCACAACAUCAACAACAACAGCAGCCACAAGUGCAAUACACCGGAUACGCCAGUUAUGGUGGAAAUGGCGCACAAGGAAACGUUGCAUAUGAAGUUUAUAGUCCUCAACCCCAACCACCGUCGCCUCAGCAACAACAUCAACAACAUCAGCAUCAACAUCAACAGCAACAACAACAGAUGGCCAUUAAAAAGUCACCGCAUCAUCUUACGAUGCAGGGUAAUCCUCAGCAGCAGGCACAACAGGGAUUAUUGGGCAAUGCCAUGGCAUCGGCGCAUAUGACGCAACAACAACACAUGCAGCAACAGGUGUCACAGCAGCAAUACAUGCAGAUCGUUAUCUCUUAUAUAUUUGACGUAGGUACCACAGCAACAAGUACAACAGGUACAAGUACAGCAACAACAACAAAUGAUACAUAUGAGCCCUCCCAGAGGAGAUUCACUUUCAAGCCCACCCCCGGUAAGUGCUUCGCAAGCUGCCAUGGUAGGACAAAGACCACCGACAAAUGCAUGUAUCCGUCACGGAUGUCCAAAUCCUGCUGUAGCCAAUAGCGAAUGGGAAGAUGAGUAUUGCAGUAAUGAGUGCGUGGUCAGCCACUGCAGGUUUGUAGAUGUCUUCACCACGUGGGUAU